GAGCAAAUUGCAUGGAUGGUUUCUGUUGCUGCUGAUACUAUUGCAAGCAAAGAGAAAGAAGGUCUAUGGUUUGCUAGUCCAUUUCUUCUAUUCCUUGUACCAUCCCAAGAAAAAGCUACCAAGGUACGUCUAGUUUGCAAACCGUUGAAAGAUCUUGGUAUACAUACAGUGAGUUUACAUCCGGGUGCCACUUUGGAUCAUCAGAUUCGUGGUCUGAAGAGUUGUGAACCUGAGUUUCUUGUGUCCACACCCGAGAGGCUUGUGGAGCUUCUUUCCUUGAAGGCCAUUGAUAUAUCUGGGGUCUCCUUCUUGGUUGUUGAUGGAUUGGAUUGUCUUCAUCAAGAUGGUUACCUUGGUACUCUAAAAUCCAUCAGGCAAUGUAUU
rnacentral:misc_RNA from 1 species